CCUACGGGCGGCAGCAGUGGGGAAUAUUGGGCAAUGGGCGCAAGCCUGACCCAGCAACGCCGCGUGAAGGAAGAAGGCUUUCGGGUUGUAAACCUCUAGUAUGAGGGACGAAAGAAAUGACGGUACCUCACGAAUAAGCCACGGCUAACUACGUGCCAGCAGCCGCGGUAAUACGUAGGGGGCAAGCGUUAUCCGGAUUUACUGGGUGUAAAGGGCGGGUAGGCGGGACUGCAAGUCAGAUGUGAAAAUUCUGGGCUCAACCCAUAACCUGCAUUUGAAACUGUAGUUCUUGAGUGAUGGAGAGGCAGGCGGCAUUCCGUGUGUAGCGGUGAAAUGCGUAGAUAUUCGGAGGAACCCCAGUGGCGAAGGCGGCCUGCUGGACAUUAACUGACGCUGAGGCUCGAAAGCGUGGGGAGCAAACAGGAUUAGAUACCCUUGUAGUC
rnacentral:rRNA from 1 species